GGUCUCGAAUGAAGACCACAUUCUUCAUAUUCUGGCUGGACUUUGAUCAGAAUACGAUCCAGUCAUGGUGACUAUCACCUCAAAAGGAGAUAUAUGGUGUCUCCAAGAUGUAACUGCUUUAUUGCUGAGUUUUGAGU